rnacentral:rRNA from 1 species
UCUGGCUCAGGAUGAACGCUAGCGGCAGGCUUAACACAUGCAAGUCGAGGGGCAACGCGAGUAGCAAUACUUGGCGGCGACCGGCGCAAGGGUGCGUAACGCGUGAGCAACAUGCCCGUAUCAGGGGGAUAAUCCAGGGAAACUUGGUCUAAUACCCCAUAGUAAUUUUGUAAGGCAUCUUAUAAGAUUUAAAGCUUUGGUGGAUACGGAUUGGCUCACGUGACAUUAGCUGGAUGGUAAGGUAACGGCUUACCAUGGCUAUGAUGUCUAGGGGUUCUGAGAGGAAGGUCCCCACACUGGAACUGAGACACGGUCCAGACUCCUACGGGAGGCAGCAGUGAGGAAUAUUGGACAAUGGAUGGAAAUCUGAUCCAGCCAUGCCGCGUGAAGGAAGAAGGUCCUAUGGAUUGUAAACUUCUUUUGUAUGGGAGCAAUAAGGCCUACGAGUAGGUUGAUGAGAGUACCAUACGAAUAAGCACCGGCUAACUCCGUGCCAGCCGCGGC